CUUUUAAAACGGGUCCAGGUUGUUUAAGUGGGUCGGGUCAGGGAUAUAACCCGAAUUGUUUAAAAAAAAACCACAGUAAAAUAAAACGAAUUACACGCAAGCAUCAUCUCUCUCGUAAGACCCUAGAUGCCAUUGCCAUCUUCAACCUCUAGCUUCGCGAAAUCUGCACCAAAUCGAGUGGUUCUUGGGUGUAACUUGCUUAGUUUUUCGAGGAGAACACAAUUCUAGCAUCUAUUCGGUCCGAUUUCCAUCCGUUCGCGAGUAAUCAGAAUGUGGGGUGGCGAACCCUAAUUUCUAAAUUUGGGGUUUUUCGUUUUGGAGUGAAGUGUGUUGAAUCUGAAGCGUAUUCUAGCAUAUCUAAACAUAAACGAGUGACGCGAACGAGACGCCUAGGGAAAGAGAAAGCUGUUGAUCCGCCAUCUAAACCGGUUGCGGCAAAGAAGCGGAAAACAACCAUCGAUCAGGUCCACGUGCUCAUUCCGUACUCUAGUUGGACAAUUUUAGUUUUUCUUGUUUUGGUGUGUUUUUGUGUUUUGGUGGUGUUAAACUUUGUGUCUAGGGAAUGUGUUUAUGUCUUUUGUUUUAGAAAUGGUCGCUCAUGACGUUUUGUUGUUGGUAUUCCCGGGUUCUGCUUUUGUUAAACAUGGUACAUUGGGGACAAUGUCGCCCAAGUGUGGGGAUAUGGAAACCCGGGCAGGGAAAGGUUUGGGACAGAGGUUGAAAAAUGAUUGAAAACGAUGAAAAUUGAAAAAAUUGAAAAUUUUAAAGAAUUUCAUCGCCUUAAGUGAACUAAAUGGAUAUGAAAACCGAACGUUUCAAUCACUAAUGGGUCUCUUGCCGGUAGUAAACUAACAUAGUCCCUUGUCAUGGUCGUUCCUUUAAGUUUCAUGAGAGUAGGUCCGACAUGUGUUUUUAGAAAAAAAUAAGUGAAAAGAGAUGUCUAUUUAGGGGUAACAUGCUUUAGAUUGCAUAUGCUACGUGUCGGCAGCCUUUUUACCCUUCUUUGGUGAGAAUUUUGAGCCUGUAGAAUGAUAGAAUGAUAUUACAUAUUAAUUCAUUUGUUGAGAGCAGGCCGCAUGUUAUUCUGUGUUAGAACUUGUAUGAUUUGAUACAUUAUGAGACUGUGAUUUGACAUGUGCACGUAAAUGAUAAAGGCAUUAGGAUAUCCCUUACACCUGUUUGUUUGUUUGUUUUAUGUUCACCUAGUUAUCACCCUUAGUAGCCCUGUUGAGCCUAUACACCUUUCGUUUGUCCACCCAAUGUGAAUUGUUGAUCCCGACCGUGAACGACAAGUUAUGAAUAAUUGAAAAACAAUAUAUAAAAAAAUAAAAAAAGGAAAAAAAUAUAAGUGUUGUGAAUAUCGUUUGUAUUCUUGGGUAGAAACCAACCCAAAAGUAUGUUAUGUUUGCAGAGAAAGUUGUCACGGUUUGGUCGUUUGUUGUUCGCCACAAAAAAAAAACCAAAAAAUAUUCCUACCCGUAGCCAAAGCCCAAGACCGGAAGUCCUUUUGAUAUGUGCUAGCGUGUUAAAUGAUACAGUGGAGGUAUGAUUGUCAUUCAAGCUUAUGAUUUAUAGAAUUUCAUGUUUGGUUUUGAGUGUUAUACAUACUAGCACAUUACACGCUAGUUCAGUUGUUAAACCGAGAGGAGAGUUGAUUGUGAGGGGUGUGUAGCAUGUGUUAAUCCUAAGCAUGUUAGUUUUGAAUAGACAAGCCUUAGGUUUUAUAAAUCACACCAAUUGCUUGUCGGGCUGUCAAUCUCGAUUGUGUCAGUCUAUGGAUCGGGUAUGACUUGAGACUUAAAUUGUUGCAUCGGUUUCGGGGUUUAGAAGUGUUGUUACUAUGGUGAGUAAUUCCGAAUCGGUUUGCUUGAGGACAAUCAAAGGUAAGUGUGGGGAUGUGAUGGAGAGUGUGAAACACGGGUGUUUAGGUGCUUAUCUUACAUGUUUUGUGCGGUUUUAUAUGAUUAUAUGUUUAGUAUUGGAUUAUUGCGAGUGGUUGUAUGUUUGCAGGUUAAACGCGUGAAAUGGGUGAAGUUACGGAAUUUAACGAUGAAGCGGAACAUGUGAUGUUAAUAAAGGCGGCCAACGGAAGCACUCGGGAAUGUUUCGGGUCGAAAUGGAUGGUUUGGAUAUGCAAAGAAUGCGAAAGCAUUAAAGUUCAAGGGCCAAUUGCCGUCUAGAACAUUAUUUUGGAGGGGGGCAGCCGUAUAACCUCACUUUUUGGCACUCAACUCAGGAUCGGGAUCGUUCAUCAUACAUCUUUCGCACAAGAUCCUACUCGAUCAUGAAUUCGAAUUUCGCCCAAGCUUCGGAAGAUUGUUCGCACAUCAUGAGCUGCUGGUCGUCCCGUGACCAUCUCCGAGACUAGGGUUUAUGUUUGAACAUUGAGUUUGCAUAUGUUACGACUUUUUGGAUUAGGACUC